rnacentral:rRNA from 1 species
CCUCGGAUCAGGUAGGGAUACCCGCUGAACUUAAGCAUAUCAAUAAGCGGAGGAAAAGAAACCAACAGGGAUUGCCCUAGUAACGGCGAGUGAAGCGGCAACAGCUCAAAUUUGAAAUCUGGCGCAAGCCCGAGUUGUAAUUUGUAGAGGAUGCUUCAGGGCAGCGGCCGGUCUAAGUUCCUUGGAACAGGACGUCAUAGAGGGUGAGAAUCCCGUAUGCGACCGGUUGGCACCCGUCACGUAGCUCCUUCGACGAGUCGAGUUGUUUGGGAAUGCAGCUCUAAAUGGGAGGUAAAUUUCUUCUAAAGCUAAAUACCGGCCAGAGACCGAUAGCGCACAAGUAGAGUGAUCGAAAGAUGAAAAGCACUUUGGAAAGAGAGUUAAAAAGCACGUGAAAUUGUUGAAAGGGAAGCGCAUGCAACCAGACUUGUCGGCGGUGUUCCGCCGGUCUUCUGACCGGUCUACUCGCCGCCGGCAGGCCAGCAUCAUCUGGGUGCGCCGGACAAAGGCGCGGGGAAUGUAGCUCCUCGGAGUGUUAUAGCCCCGCGCACAAUACGGCGCCGCCCGGGUGAGGUCCGCGCUUCGGCUAGGAUGCUGGCGUAAUGGUUGUAUGCGGCCCGUCUUGAAACACGGACCAAGGAGUCUAACAUCUAUGCGAGUGUUCGGGUGUCAAACCCCUACGCGGAAUGAAAGUGAACGGAGGUGGGAAGCGCAAGCUGCACCAUCGACCGAUCCUGAUGUCUUCGGAUGGAUUUGAGUAAGAGCAUAGCUGUUGGGACCCGAAAGAUGGUGAACUAUGCCUGAAUAGGGUGAAGCCAGAGGAAACUCUGGUGGAGGCUCGCAGCGGUUCUGACGUGCAAAUCGAUCGUCAAAUUUGGGUAUAGGGGCGAAAGACUAAU